rnacentral:rRNA from 1 species
UACAGAGGUCCCAAGCGUUGUUCGGAUUCACUGGGCGUAAAGGGUGCGUAGGCGGUCGGGUAAGUCUAACGUGAAAUCUCCGAGCCUAACUCGGAAACUGCGUCGGAUACUAUUCGGCUAGAGGAAUGGAGGGGAGACUGGAAUUCUCGGUGUAGCAGUGAAAUGCGUAGAUAUCGAGAGGAACACCAGUGGCGAAGGCGAGUCUCUGGACAUUUCCUGACGCUGAGGCACGAAAGCCAGGGGAGCAAACGGGAUUAGAUACCCCGGUAGUCCUGGCCCUAAACGGUGCACGUUUGCUGUAAGAGGAAUCGACCCCUUUUGUGGCGAAGCUAACGCGUUAAACGUGCCGCCUGGGAAGUACGGCCGCAAGGUUA